AUUGAACGCUGGCGGAAUGCUUUACACAUGCAAGUCGAACGGCAGCACGGACUUCGGUCUGGUGGCGAGUGGCGAACGGGUGAGUAAUGUAUCGGAACGUGCCCAGUCGUGGGGGAUAACGUAGUGAAAAUUACGCUAAUACCGCAUACGAUCUAUGGAUGAAAGCGGGGGAUCGCAAGACCUCGCGCGAUUGGAGGGGCCGAUAUCAGAUUAGGUAGUUGGUGGGGUAAAGGCCCACCAAGCCAACGAUCUGUAGCUGGUCUGAGAGGACGAACAGCCACACUGGAACUGAUACACGGUCCAGACUCCUACGGGAGGCAGCAGUGGGGAAUUUUGGACAAGGGUCUAAAGCCUGAUCCAGCCAUUCCGCGUGCAGGAUGAAGGCCCUCGGGGUGUAAACCGCUUUUGUACAGAACGAAAAGGUUUCUACUAAUACUAGGAGCUCAUGACGGUACUGUAAGAAUAAGCACCGGCUAACUACGUGCCAGCAGCCGCAGUAA
rnacentral:rRNA from 1 species